rnacentral:pre_miRNA from 1 species
AUCACCUGGGGGUUUUAUUAAAAUACAGAUUCUUAUUCCAUAGGUCUGGGAUGGGAACUGAGAUUCUGUAUUUCUGAUAAACUUCCAGGUGAUGCCAG